CCAGACUCCUACGGGAGGCAGCAGUCGGGAAUAUUGCGCAAUGGAGGAAACUCUGACGCAGUGACGCCGCGUGCAGGAAGAAGGUUUUCGGAUUGUAAACUGCUUUAGACAGGGAAGAAACAAGACAGUACCUGUAGAAUAAGCUCCGGCUAACUACGUGCCAGCAGCCGCGGUAAUACGUAGGGAGCAAGCGUUAUCCGGAUUUACUGGGUGUAAAGGGAGCGUAGACGGUGAUGCAAGUCAGAAGUGAAAGCCCGGGGCUCAACUCCGGGACUGCUUUUGAAACUGUGUGACUGGAGUGCAGGAGAGGUAAGCGGAAUUCCUGGUGUAGCGGUGAAAUGCGUAGAUAUCAGGAGGAACACCAGUGGCGAAGGCGGCUUACUGGACUGUAACUGACGUUGAGGCUCGAAAGCGUGGGGAGCAAACAGGAUUAGAUACCCCGGUA
rnacentral:rRNA from 1 species